CGGGAGACAGGUGGUGCAUGGUUGUCGUCAGCUCGUGUCGUGAGAUGUUGGGUUAAGUCCCGCAACGAGCGCAACCCCUACGUUUAGUUGCUAACGCGUGAAGGCGAGCACUCUAGACGAACUGCCGUUGACAAAACGGAGGAAGGUGGGAUGACGUCAAAUCAUCAUGCCCCUUAUGUUCUGGGCUACACACGUGCUACAAUGGCCGGUACAGACGGACGCAAAGCCGCGAGGUGGAGCAAAUCCUAAAAAGCCGGUCUCAGUUCGGAUUGCAGGCUGCAAUUCGCCUGCAUGAAGUCGGAAUCGCUAGUAAUCGCAGGUCAGCAUACUGCCGGUCGAAUACGUUCCCGGGCCUU
rnacentral:rRNA from 1 species